UACAGAGGUCCCAAGCGUUGUUCGGAUUCACUGGGCGUAAAGGGUGCGUAGGCGGUCGGGUAAGUCUGAUGUGAAAUCUCACAGCUUAACUGUGAAACUGCAUUGGAUACUAUCCGGCUCGAGGAAUGGAGGGGAGACUGGAAUACUUGGUGUAGCAGUGAAAUGCGUAGAUAUCAAGUGGAACACCAGUGGCGAAGGCGAGUCUCUGGACAACACCUGACACUGAGGCACGAAAGCUAGGGGAGCAAACAGG
rnacentral:rRNA from 1 species